CGUUUUUCUGCAGGAGCGACCUCCUGGCGGACUGCGUGGGAUGCGCGGUGAAGACGAGGUCGACGCUCUGGUUCUUGAGCGCCUCGAACACCUCCGCGGGGGUCUUGCCGAGCGACACGAGGCGCUUGAGCGUCUCCUCGAUGUCGGACUCGGUGGUGGCGGAGCCCUCGUCGGAGAAGUCCCCGUGCUUGAGCUUGCUGUUCCGGCGGCGGUGCGCCAGCUCCACUUCCUCCGCCAGGUUGGCGAGGUUGAGCAUGUGCAGGAUGGAGCUCGCCACCAGGAUGGCGUCGGCGGGGGCCAGCCCCGUCAGCUUGGCUCCCAGCUCCCCCAGCUUGGACGUGUCUUUCUUGCCCUCGUAGUCGGCCGACACCUCGUAGCACUCCUGGACCUGCAUGCAUCGCAUUUGGGUAUAUAUAUAUAUAUAGUAAGCACCGGAUUCGAGACGUAUAGACUAUAGAGAGGUGAGCUGAUGAUGCUCUCAGCUCGAUCUGCUACGUACAAAUUCGCGAAGGCUGGGGCCAUGGAGGUCCUGGAGGAUGUCGAGGAAGCGGUCGACGAGCAGGGCGUCAUACUGGAUGAGCUCCUCGGAGACCUUGCCGGGUGCGAGGGCACGGAGCUGCGCGUCGAUGGAGUGGUGCCGCUCGGACGCCAUGGCGGCGGCGGCCGGGGAGUGGGCCGGGAAGCGCGAACGAAGCUGGAGAUGGUUGGAGCGCGGCGCGGCGUGUUGCUCGUGCUGCUCCUCUGCUGCGAGUUGAUUGAUCAAUGCAGGGCGCCGGCCGGUGGCUUCAAAUAGGGAUGGGGAGUUGGCGAGUGUGUGGUCGGCGUGUGCACGCGGGAUUGGAAAGGCAUGCAUGUGAUCGGCGGUAAGGGUAGCCGAGAGCUGCGCGCGGCUGUGGCUACGCUGCUUUUGGCUGGGAUCGCUGCUGUGGACGUACUUUGUCACUGCGCACUUGCCUGCUUGUGUUAUUCCGCUGGCUAAUUGCCUGUUUGCAGGACGUGGAGAGGGGUGUCUGCUAGUGCUAGCUAGUGGUAAGGAUGGGGACGACGCUUCAAAUAACUCCUCGUGGUUCUUCUCUAGUCUAACUAAACGAACUAAAUUAAAAAAAUAAGAAAGAAAUUGUUUAUUUAGUUUAUUAAGUUAGACUAGAGAAAAACCGCGCAAGUAUCCAUUUAGAGUACCAUCUUCAUUCUUAGCUAGUGGUAACCGCAAAGGGGACCGGGAGAGCUGCGGCCGCACCUUGCUCCUGGAUCGUUUUUGGCUUGGCUUUGCUGCUGUUGACGUGCUUUGUCACUGCUCACCUGCCUUCUUGUGUUAUUCGGUUGGCUGAUGGGUUUGCAGGAUGGGGAGAGGGGUGUCUGUUUGCAGUCAAGGCCGGAUUCUGGGGAUCGGUAGAAUUUGGAGGUUUGCUUGCACGCGAUGUGGAGAGAGGUGUCUGUUAGCAACGGAGGAUGCAUGGCGCUGGAGGAAGGCUUUGCAGGGUGUGGAGGAGAGGGUGCCUGUUAUCCAGUAAUGUUAAUGUUAGGAACAUAGAUGUCCUAUAUCCAUGUAAAUUGUGGAAACAGAACUUAAUUUCCUUAGGAGACCGGGAAACAAAAAAUGAACUUGUGGUUAAGGAUAUGGACUAUAAUUUUGUGGUUCAAAGAAAGGUAUUGGUAUACAUGGCUGCCGUAGGGAUAAGGGUCAUACAUGGCUGCCGUAGGGAUAAGGGUGUUGUUACUCUACCAAGGGCACCAUACAGGUGGCUGCACAGCAUUCAGGCGCUGCCAAAUCUAGCGCGCACAUCACUGGGUCAAGCCGACACAGAUUUGGACAAUACGAUGUGUAGCAGCUGGUGGUGGUGAAGAUAUGCGGAUUUAAGAGAGAGGUGGAUUUGGGUUGGGAGGAGCAACUUGCAUCGUCGUGGAUCUCCACACAAAAAAGAAGAAUUGGAAAUGUAUAAUACUAUACAUAUGCUUAAAUGAAAGUAUUUACUGAAUUGUGGAUCGAUGCAUUAAUUGUCAUCACAAGUGAAAAUUAGGUAAUAAUGAGUACUAGUUAAUAGUUGAGCACGGAAAAAGCAUCGAAUUUUGACCUUGCAUUUAGUACCACACCACAUCUCCUAACUCCUUAUUACAUGUCCCGAUCCUCAGCUUGCUGUCAACAUGUAUUAGUCGAGUAGGUCGAGAUCUGGAUCAACCAUGGCAAUAUAGAAUUCCCAAUUUCCCAUAUAUGCAAAAAGUAGCACUGCAAAUGUCCACUUUCAAUAGCAGUAGUUGUCACGUAUGAGUGUAAGUGCAUCAAUGCUAUCAGUGAGUUUUGUUGAAAAGAUGAUGACGCAUAUAAAGAGGUAAUGAUGUUUCAUGAGAUUUUCAGUUAUACAUCGAUGUGAAAAAGUGCAAAAAGAAACAUGGGACCCCUCAAUUCUUACUUUAAAGAAAAAUGCGGCAUUGCGUUUUCAAAGAAACAUGGAAAAAGCAUCGAAUUUUGACCUUGCAUAUACUACCACACCACAUCUCCUAACGCCUUAUAUCUCUACAUCCCUAUCAACACGCAUGUGUGCAUUAGAUCGAGCAGGUGUCGAGAUCUGGAUCAGCCAUGGCAAGACAUAAUUCCCAAAUUAAUUAAUUCCCAUAUGCAAAUAUUAGCACUGCAAAAUGUUCUAUUCUAACAGUAGUUCGUUGUCACGUAUGAGCAAAGCAGCAAACUAAUCUGUCACUCCAUCAAUUAGACAUCUCAAAAACAAAAGGAUGAGAUUAAAGGAAAAGACUAUAUAUAUAUAUAUAUAUAUAUAUAUAUAUAUAUAUAUAUAUAUAUAUAUAUAUAUAUAUAUAUAUAUAUAAUUCCUUAUAUAAUAUUUUUUUAAACUCAUGAGAACAUGCAUGUUUGACUCGAGAACUUAAUUAGUAGUAGUAAUAGCAUGCGGAGCACAUAAUAUGGUCCUACGUUGCGAUCCCUUGAAGCUUGUUUCUUCGCCAACAUAAGCUAAACAAAAAUACCGGCAUGACAUUUGAAAUAAAGUUCACAUUUACUAAAAGAUGAUCUUUUGGAGCACGAAACAGUUGAAUUUUCGUGUGCAGGGGAACUGGAAAUUUAGAGCCACGCAUUUUCGACAUGGAGACAAUUUAUUAGUAGUGAAAAAUUAGAAUCUAUGAUAGUUAUAGUUAUUAUUAGGUGCUACUAUUUUAAUGAGUUCGUGAUGAUUCAAUUGAAUCUAUGGUAACACCUGUGAUGCUUUUCAACGUGGAUUACACGAUUAGUGAUUUGAUCAAUACAAUUUUAUGGUUUAGAAGAUUUUGGCCAUGAAGACUUGUGCAACAUAUAUUACAGAAAAUGAUUGUGGUUGAAACAGAAGAAAAAUUGUUGGCCAAGAAAUUUAUGAUAAUGAAGUAACUGAAUAGGAAGAAUUAUUUUGAUGGAUGAAAUAAAUUUUGGCACCAAGAAAUUGAAAAUAGACGUCAAAAACAACAUCCGUUCUUGGACAAAUGCACAGCUAUGAUUAGGGACAAAUAGAGAUCUCUAUCGGUCGAAGUAUUCGCGCGCUCCCAACUCUUGCGUCCCUUCUACGCAACCUCACGUCUCCUGCACCAUGUAUCAGUGAAAAACACACAACGACCACUUAUCGCUCCCAGCUCUUAUGUCCCUUCUACACAGCCUCACAUCUCAUACACCAUGUAUCAGAGAAAAACACACAAUGACCACUUAUCAGAGAGUAAAAAUAUGAGCGUCUAGAAGCUUCUACACUUGAGAGCUUAGACACGAACAAAACGAAGAAGCCUCUACACUUGUACUACAAGGAGUGCAAAAAUGGCCGACAAUUGUUAUACUGUUGGGCAUUUACUUGCACCGUCGGGAAGUGUAAUGCCCGAGCGUGUACCGUCGGGAACCUCACGUCGAGCAUCCAUGGUCGGGCAUUCCCCCUUUUACGGACGGGUAGUCGGUCAUUGUGUGGCCGACCGUAUGUUUCCGACGGUUAACGCUCAACAAUUAGUUUGUAAACACGCCAAAAAGACUUUGGUCGGACAUGAAUUGCCGAGGGUACCCUAGUCGGGGACUUGUUACUUGACAAUUUUUUAAAAUCCAUUGGCAAAUAUAUACAGUCUGAGUUUUGUUGAACGACGGCUUUUUAAAACCCAUCAGAAAAUAUAUCCGGUCAGGAAUGCAUUGCAUGACGGGUUUUUAAAACCCGUCGGGAAAUAUAUUCGGUCAGAGAUUUGUUGCAUGACAGUUUUUAAAACCCAUCGAAAAAUAUAAUCUGUUGGGGAUUUGUUGUACGACGGUUUUUUAACCCAUCGAGGAACAUAUUAGCAACGGUGUUUAUUAACCAUUAGGAAAUAUAAUCGGUUGGGGAUUUGUUGCAUGACGGUUAUUGAACCCCAUCGAGAAACAUAUUAGCAAUGGUGCUUGGGAUAUUUUAUAGCCAUAAAUAAUUAAUAUUUAACAAUGAAGAUCAAUUCUAGAUGUACAUUCACACUAUAACUCACGACAUUUCAUAACCAGCUCUACAAUAUUGCAUAGUACAAUGAAAGUUUGAAGCCCAAUGACAACUAAACAAAGGUACGAACAAGAGAUUCUUAAAGUUUCUAAGAACAUUCUUCAACAUAACAUAAGUUAAUGUUUAGACUAAAAUACUUGACUAAGAUGCUGCUAUUCACAAGGCAUAACAAAUACUACUUAAAAGUGCCACACACUUCAUAUGUUGUAUAGAAUCUUUUCUCAUCAAUAGGUGCCAUCAUCAUCAUAACCAUGGUUCACAUAAUAUUUGCCAUCAUCUUGGGAACGAUAGACUUCAUCUUC
rnacentral:lncRNA from 1 species